AUCCCUUUCUUCUUGCUACAGCAGAAUGUACCAAGAGCAGCCAUGGUUAGGGUUUGGCCAAGCUUCCAAGCUUAAUAAUCAAGGAAAUCGAGAUUUGGGCUUAAAUCGGGAAAAUACAAGGUUAUGGACUAGAAUGGUAAAUUGCCAUUUCUGGAUCCGAGUGUUGUCAGGUUAGCUCAGGGCUGGAGAUCGUCGGAGGCAGUAUCACACUAUCAAGCCAACACCUUGGCAGUAUAAACACAUAUGCUAGAAUUAUCAAGUGAGUGGCAUGUAUAGGGACCUAGUUUUAUAACAUGUGUUAUUAUAAUUUGGCCAAAUAUAUUGGUCUUUAGUGAGCUAAUGAUUCUGACUUAUAAAUCUAGCUAUUUAUGUUAUGUUUGA